UGAAUACGAGAUGCUACGGCGUCGAAGCAGUCUAUGUCAUACUUCCAAGAAAAGCUUGCACUGUCAUAAACAAAUAAUGCCUGUACCAUAACCGACACAGGUGGGUAGGUAGAGUAUACUAAGGGGCGCGAGAUAACUCUCUCUAAGGAACUCGGCAAAAUGACUCCGUAACUUCGGGAGAAGGAGUGCCUUAUUUAUAAGGUUGCAAUAACAAGAUCCAAGCAACUGUUUACCAAAAACACAGGUCUCCGCUAAGUCGUAAGACGAUGUAUGGGGGCUGACGCCUGCCCAGUGCCAGAAGGUUAAAGAAGUUGGUUAGCAUCCGCGAAGCUGAUAACUGAAGCCCUGGUGAACGGCGGCCGUAACCAUAACGGUCCUAAGGUAGCGAAAUUCCUUGUCGGGUAAGUUCCGACCCGCACGAAAGGCGUAAUGAUUUGGAUACUGUCUCGGAGAGGGGCUCGGUGAAAUAGACUUCUGUGAAGAUGCGGACUACCUGCACCAGGACAGAAAGACCCUAUGAAGCUUUACUGUAACCUGAAAUUGAAAUUGGACUUUACUUGCGCAGUAUAGGUGGGAGGCGUUGAGAAUAUUCUUGCGGGAUUAUUGUAGCCAUCAGUGAGAUACCACUCUUGUAAUGUUAGAUUUCUAACUUUGUAUCAUUAUCUGGUCAAAGAACAGUUUCAGGCGGGCAGUUUGACUGGGGCGGUCGCCUCCUAAACGGUAACGGAGGCGCACAAAGGUUUCCUCUGAACGGGUAGAAAUCGUAUCUAGAGUGUAAAGGCAUAAGGAAGCUUGACUGUGAGACCUACAAGUCGAGCAGGGACGAAAGUCGGUCUUAGUGAUCUGACGGUGCUGAGUGGAAAGGCCGUCACUCAACGGAUAAAAGUUACUCUAAGGAUAACAGGCUGAUCUCCCCCAAGAGUUCACAUCGACGGGGAGGUUUGGCACCUCGAUGUCGGCUCAUCGCAUCCUGGGGCGGUAGUACGUCCCAAGGGUUGGGCUGUUCGCCCAUGAAAGCGGUACGCGAGCUGGGUUCAGAACGUCGUGAGACAGUUCGGUCCAUAUCCGGUGUAGGCGUUAGAAUAUUGAGAGGAGCCUUCUUUAGUACGAGAGGACCGAGAAGGACAUACCUCUGGUGUACCAGUUAUCGUGCCAACGGUAAACGCUGGGUAGCUAUGUGUGGAGUGGAUAACCGCUGAAAGCAUCUAAGUGGGAAGCCCACCUCAAGAUAAGUAUUCUU
rnacentral:rRNA from 1 species